CCUACGGGUGGCAGCAGUGAGGAAUAUUGGUCAAUGGGCUUACGCCUGAACCAGCCAAGUCGCGUGAGGGAAGACUGCCCUAUGGGUUGUAAACCUCUUUUGUCAGGGAGCAACGCCGACUACGUUUAGCCGGACUGAGAGUACCUGAAGAAAAAGCAUCUGCUAACGCCGUGCCAGCAGCCGCGGUAAUACGGAGGAUGCGAGCGUUAUCCUGAUUUUUUGGGUUUAAAGGGUGCGUAGGCGGAAUGCCAAGGCAGCGGUAAAAUCGCGGGGCUCAACCUCGCUCCGCCGGUGAAACUGGCGUUCUUGAGUGGGCGAGAAGUAUGCGGAAUGCGGGGUGUAGCGGUGAAAUGC
rnacentral:rRNA from 1 species